AGAGUUUGAUCAUGGCUCAGGACGAACGCUGGCGGCGUGCUUAACACAUGCAAGUCGAACGGAAAGGCCCUGCUUUUGUGGGGUGCUCGAGUGGCGAACGGGUGAGUAACACGUGAGUAACCUGCCCUUGACUUUGGGAUAACUUCAGGAAACUGGGGCUAAUACCGGAUAGGAGCUCCUGCUGCAUGGUGGGGGUUGGAAAGUUUCGGCGGUUGGGGAUGGACUCGCGGCUUAUCAGCUUGUUGGUGGGGUAGUGGCUUACCAAGGCUUUGACGGGUAGCCGGCCUGAGAGGGUGACCGGCCACAUUGGGACUGAGAUACGGCCCAGACUCCUACGGGAGGCAGCAGUGGGGAAUAUUGCACAAUGGGCGGAAGCCUGAUGCAGCAACGCCGCGUGCGGGAUGACGGCCUUCGGGUUGUAAACCGCUUUCGCCUGUGACGAAGCGUGAGUGACGGUAAUGGGUAAAGAAGCACCGGCUAACUACGUGCCAGCAGCCGCGGUGAUACGUAGGGUGCGAGCGUUGUCCGGAUUUAUUGGGCGUAAAGGGCUCGUAGGUGGUUGAUCGCGUCGGAAGUGUAAUCUUGGGGCUUAACCCUGAGCGUGCUUUCGAUACGGGUUGACUUGAGGAAGGUAGGGGAGAAUGGAAUUCCUGGUGGAGCGGUGGAAUGCGCAGAUAUCAGGAGGAACACCAGUGGCGAAGGCGGUUCUCUGGGCCUUUCCUGACGCUGAGGAGCGAAAGCGUGGGGAGCGAACAGGCUUAGAUACCCUGGUAGUCCACGCUGUAAACGGUGGGUACUAGGUGUGGGGUCCAUUCCACGGGUUCCGUGCCGUAGCUAACGCUUUAAGUACCCCGCCUGGGGAGUACGGCCGCAAGGCUAAACUCAAAGGAAUUGACGGGGCCCCGCACAAGCGGCGGAGCAUGCGGAUUAAUUCGAUGCAACGCGUAGAACCUUACCUGGGUUUGACAUGGAUCGGGAGUGCUCAGAGAUGGGUGUGCCUCUUUUGGGGUCGGUUCACAGGUGGUGCAUGGCUGUCGUCAGCUCGUGUCGUGAGAUGUUGGGUUAAGUCCCGCAACGAGCGCAACCCUUGUUCACUGUUGCCAGCACGUUAUGGUGGGGACUCAGUGGAGACCGCCGGGGUCAACUCGGAGGAAGGUGGGGAUGACGUCAAGUCAUCAUGCCCCUUAUGUCCAGGGCUUCACGCAUGCUACAAUGGCUGGUACAGAGAGUGGCGAGCCUGUGAGGGUGAGCGAAUCUCGGAAAGCCGGUCUCAGUUCGGAUUGGGGUCUGCAACUCGACCUCAUGAAGUCGGAGUCGCUAGUAAUCGCAGAUCAGCAACGCUGCGGUGAAUACGUUCCCGGGGCUUGUACACACCGCCCGUCAAGUCAUGAAAGUUGGUAACACCCGAAGCCGGUGGCCUAACCGUUGUGGGGGAGCCGUCGAAGGUGGGACUGGUGAUUAGGACUAAGUCGUAACAAGGUAACC
rnacentral:rRNA from 1 species